rnacentral:rRNA from 1 species
UGGGGAAUCUUGCGCAAUGGGCGAAAGCCUGACGCAGCAACGCCGCGUGAGCGAAGAAGGCCUUCGGGUUGUAAAGCUCUGUCGGGGGGAAAGAAGGCACCUGGGUUAAUAGCCCAAGGGUUGACGGUACCCCCAAAGGAAGCCACGGCUAACUACGUGCCAGCAGCCGCGGUAAUACGUAGGUGGCAAGCGUUGUCCGGAAUCAUUGGGCGUAAAGCGCGCGUAGGUGGCUUGUCAGGUCUGAUGUGAAAUUUCGGGGCUCAACCCCGACCCUGCAUCGGAAACCGGCUUGCUAGAGUCUGGGAGAGGAGAGUGGAAUUCCUGGUGUAGCGGUGAAAUGCGUAGAUAUCAGGAGGAACACCGGUAGCGAAGGCGGCUCUCUGGAACAGUACUGACGCUGAGGCGCGAAAGCUAGGGGAGCGAACAG